GAAAUAUUUGAUAAUUAAGCUGCUAACUUAAUUCUUAGUGUAUAAAUUCAUUAAUAUUUCU
rnacentral:tRNA from 1 species